rnacentral:rRNA from 1 species
GAUGAACGCUGGCGGCGUGCCUAAUACAUGCAAGUCGAACGAAGAGCGAUGGAAGUUUGCUUCCAUCAAUUUUAGUGGCGAACGGGUGUGUAACGUGUAAACAAUCUGUCCUUCACUGGGGGACAACAGGGGAACACGACCUCUAAUACCGCAUACGAUUUAAUCUCGGCAUCGAGGAGAGAAGAAAGGUGGCCCUGUCAUGUAAGCUAUCACUGACGGAGGGGUAUGCGUCUGAUUAGCUAGGUGGGGGGGUAACGGACCAUCAAUGCGAUGAACGGUAGCCCGACUUGGAGGAUGGACCGCCACAAUGGGACCGAGACACGGCCCAGGCUCCUACGGGGAGGAAGAGGGAGGGAACUUCCGGAAUGGGGGAAAGGCUGACGGGGCCACGCCGGGUGAGUGGUGGCGGCCCUCGGGUUGUAAAACUCUGGUUAUCAGGGAGAAAGACCUUCUUACGAAUAGUGGGAAGGAUUGACGGUACCGGAACAGAAAGCCACGGCUAACUACGUG